GGAGCCCUAGUAAUUUAAUCUUCAUCAUCUUCCUCUUCUUCUUUUUAUCAAGAAAUUGCUUUCUAAAUAUACCACCUAGCAGACUCUGAAGGAGAACAGGAAGUAGAAAAUAUUAUGUGAAUCAGAAACUCUUUUGGUGAUUCAUAUGGAAUGUUAAUGUCAUGAAUCCAUUGCUAAAUACUCAUCAGACUAUCCCUCAUGGCCCUAUUAAAAACAUUAAGUAUGUGAUUUAUUCUAUUUUAGUCCAAUACAAACCUGUCACUGUGCAGCCUUAUGAUAUAGUUUCAAAUCUAAGCAUCAGAGAGCAGUCCUUACAUUUACUGUUUUUCAAAAUCCUAGAUGGCAUUCUUUGAAGACACCUGCAGAACUCGAUCAAAAAUGGUGAACUAUUUGGUAUGAAAGGAAAAGCCCUUUUCUGAGAGCAACAGAGAGCGCUGCCACUUGUCUGACCAUCUAGAGCAUUAAAGAAUUUGAAGUCUAAAGUAAUUGCACAGAAGCACUGCUAAUGGUUGUACCAAAGACUUUCCUGGCUUCUGUGUAUCCCAUACUGCUUUACAGAAGAAAUCAAAGAGAAAGCCACACCCUUUCUGUGUAUAACAGAAAUUCAGUCUCAAUGGAUCCCACAACAAUUCCAUGGAGAUACUAAACAGGACCAAGAAGAAGCAUGGUGUUGUCAAGUACUACAGAUGAAAGUUCUGGCAGCAAAGAACUAGACAUCCACUGCGUGUCACAGUGGAUUUUCAACAUACUUCCAUUUCAACAUAUUUCCAUUUCUUCCUGGGAUUGGUUGAAUCGAAGAGCGUGGCAACCAAAUAUAUGUCUCUGCUUAGAGAGAAUUAAUAGAAUGAGAAUGGAUUACUUCCCUUAUUUUAUGGGCAGGAAAUUCUGUACCUUUACAGGCUUAAGAGCCAACUGCGAAGGUCACAGGAUUCAAGCAAUUCAGUGUUAUUAUUGUGGACCCAUCGCUACUUUUCUGUUAAUUUGCUUCAGAGUAAACAAGCGAAAUAUGUAUAUGUAUCUCCCCAUACACAACAUUUACAAAUGAAAGAUAACCAGACAUUCAAAUACAUUUGACUGCAAGUAGGUUGUCUAAAACUCUAAAAGACACUGAUGUUUUUGAUUUAUGCAUUUUUCUUAAGAGGAAGGACAAGAAAGGUCAUGCCAGUUUGUGUUUGCAGGACUACCAAUGGAUCGGAUGUUUAGAAAGAGUGAAUUGUGUAAUGGGGUUCAUGAAAAAUUGUAAGGAAAGCAGAACUAAAAGAGUAAGCAGGAGUAAAAAGUAAUUAUUACGUUUGCAUCAAAACCUAUGACCCCUUAUGGGGCACUCUGAGGUCAAAGAUAUGUUUAGAAAACAAGGGUGGAAAUAGCAGAAGGAAACUUCAGUACUGUUAAAUCCAGGAAGUUUUCCAGACUGGGGGAGCUAGGAGAACGAUAUUUAAAUUUAGUAAAAGCCCUAUGAACUUUAUCACCACAUUAAGCAGCAAUAUUUACUUAUUUAUUUUUAACUUCUCUGAGAAAUCUUUUGUAUUUGGAACUCUGUAGAUUAAAAGGAUGCCCAAACUUAUUUGGGAGUAUAGAAACAGGACUAAGUGGCUAUUCUCAAAAGAUUGUAAUUCAAUAGACCUCUUGGAUAGGAGCUUGAAUAGGAAUAUAAUGACUACUCCACUUCAUCAUCUAGUAUCUGUUAAAGACAUUUAAAUACUUCCUUAGUAAUAUUACUUCCUCUGGUUACAACAACUGCAGACUGAGACAUCCUGGGAAAAUAUUCUCUUAUCUAUAGAGCCUCUGUUUUUCUGUUACUAUGAAACUUCUGUCCUUCAUUAACAUUCAAAUCACCUUCUUUCUCUGCAGCUGGUGGAGAUGCACUUCACUUUUUUGUCCUAGCAGUGAUAUAGCAGAACCUUUAACUAGGAAUGGGAUGUCUCUGGAAUCACCUUCA